rnacentral:rRNA from 1 species
CGCACAGUAAACGAUGACAACUGGCUGUCGGCGAUAUACCGAUCGGUAGCGAAGCGAAAGCGUUAAGUUGUCCACCUGGGGAGUACGACCGCAAGGUUGAAACUCAAAGGAAUUGACGGGGGCCCGCACAAGCGGAGGAACAUGUGGUUUAAUUCGAAGCAACGCGAAGAACCUUACCAGGUCUUGACAUCCCGAUGACCGCUCUAGAGAUAGAGUUUUCCCUUCGGGGACAUUGGUGACAGGUGG